UUAUAUAAGCCAACUCCUGAGGUUAUUUUAGUAAAUUAACUUUUCGUGUCCACUUACAAAAUGACGAAAAUAGCCUCCUGUCUUUUUUUUGUUAACCGGUAUUGACUACUCUGUACUUGCUGAGUUGCUGAGCAUCUCUCCCCCUCUCACUUUUCUCUCUCCUCUCACCUUCGUUUCUAUUCUAGGGUUCUCUCUCUGCUCUCACCCUAAUUGAGCAGCUGUGCAACAGCCCCUUUCCUUCCUCCUUCCUCCUUCCUCCGUCCUCUUAACCGUGGAUGCGGCUUCUCCUUGCCUAGGGUUGCGGCAGUUGAGGCUUCUCCUUUCCUCCGCCACCAUCGUCGGCUCGCUCUCGCUCUUUGUCGAUGCUUUCUUUAGCGUUUGAGAAGGGACGAACUGACGAAGUGUAUUGGAAAGAUCUCUAGGAUCUGUUGUGUUUUAUUGAAAGAAAUUGAAGAUAAUAUCUUGAGUUUGUAUGUUUUUCUUCAGUCUCCAGUCUACCUCAUCCUUCCUCCUCUCAUUUCAAUCUCAUAAAGAAAGGCUUCACGAUCCUUCUCCUCUGCUCUCAACUUCAAGGUGGACUUCAUUUGGUACUAUGAGGAUGUUCUAACCCACAGGCCCGUCCAAUGGCUCUUUUAUACGGUUUGGUAGAGAUCCAAGACAGGUGAUGCGUCAAGCCUACAAAUUGUUCAGACACAGAGGGAGAUAGAUCUUACUUUGGAGCUUAAUGUGUACUACAACGAAGCGAGUUGCGGUCGGUUCGUUGCUUGGGCGUACUCAUGGACCUGAUAACUUACUGUUGACUAGAGUUUCUAACCUUAUGGUUGAAGACAAAACCCUUGGCUCUCCGAGUAAACCUUUGAAAACUAUUGUUUCAGCUUUAUUUUCUCAAAAAUUAUGUUUUUAUCUGAAUAAUUUGUGGGUUGAUUAAGUUGAUGAUGAUAAUUUACUUUAUCUUAGCGGAUUUCAGUGAUAUCAAUGAUCUGAUUGUUACACACUGAAGUUCUUAUAUCUCUAUUUCAUAGUUAUUCCAACUA